AUUAACAGGAUUAGAUACCCUGGUAGUCCACGCCCUAAACGAUGUCUACUAGUUGUCGGGUCUUAAUUGACUUGGUAACGCAGCUAACGCGUGAAGUAGACCGCCUGGGGAGUACGGUCGCAAGAUUAAAACUCAAAGGAAUUGACGGGGACCCGCACAAGCGGUGGAUGAUGUGGAUUAAUUCGAUGCAACGCGAAAAACCUUACCUACCCUUGACAUGUACAGAAUCCCGAAGAGAUUUGGGAGUGUUCGAAAGAAAACUGUAACACAGGUGCUGCAUGGCUGUCGUCAGCUCGUGUCGUGAGAUGUUGGGUUAAGUCCCGCAACGAGCGCAACCCUUGUCAUUAGUUGCUACGAAAGGGCACUCUAAUGAGACUGCCGGUGACAAACCGGAGGAAGGUGGGGAUGACGUCAAGCCCUCAUGGCCCUUAUGGGUAGGGCUUCACACGUCAUACAAUGGUACAUACAGAGGGCCGCCAACCCGCGAGGGGGAGCUAAUCCCAGAAAGUGUAUCGUAGUCCGGAUUGUAGUCUGCAACUCGACUACAUGAAGUUGGAAUCGCUAGUAAUCGCGGAUCAGCAUGUCGCGGUGAAUACGUUCCCGGGUCUUGUACACACCGCCCGUCACACCAUGGGAGCGGGUUUUACCAGAAGUAGGUAGCCUAACCGUAAGGAGGGCGCUUACCACGGUAGGAUUCGUGACUGGGGUGAAGUCGUAACAAGGUAACCGUA
rnacentral:rRNA from 1 species